CGACUCUUUGUGACCUCAUGGACCAGCCCAUGCCAGAGCUCCCUGUCAGCGGUUGCCACCCCCAGCUCCUUCAAGGUCAAGCCAGUCACUUCAAGGAUACCAUCCAUCCAACUUGCCUUUGGCCGGCCCCUCUUCCUUUUUCCUUCCAUUUCCCCUAGCAUCAUUACCUUCUCCAAGCUUUCCUGUCUUCUCAUUAUGUGGCCAAAGUGCUUCAUCUUUGUCUCUAAUAUCCUUCCCUCCAGUGAGCAGCCGGGCAUUAUUUCCUGGUGUAUGGACUGGUUUGAUCUUCUUGCAGUCCAAGGCACUCUCAGAAUUUUCCUCCAACACCACAGUUCAAAAAUGUCUAUCUUCCUUCGUUCAGCCUUCCUUAUGGACCAGCUCUCACCACCCAUAGGUUACUGUGGGAAAUACCAUUGCUUUAACUAUGCGGACCUUCAUUGCCAGUAUGAUAUCUCUACUCUUCACUAUUUGAUCAAGAUUGGCCAUUGCUGGUUGCAGUCUGCUUCUGCAGUAAUCUUUGCACAUAGAAAUAUAAAGUCUGUCACUGCCGCCAUGUUUUCUCCCUCUAUUUGCCAGUUUGUCUGGUUGCCAUAAUCUUGGGUUUUUUAAUGUUUAACUGCAACUCAGCUUUUGCACUUUCUUCUUUCACCUUGGUUAUAAGGCUCCUCAGCUCCUCCUUGCUUUUAGCCAUUAAAGUGGUAUUGUCUGCAUAAGUUGUUAAGUUUCUUCCAGCAAUUUUAACUCUAGCUCUGGAUUCAUCAAGCCCCGCAUGUCGCAUGAUAUGUUCUGCGUACAAGCUGAAUAGGUAGGGUGAGAGUAUACAGCCCUGCCGUACUCCUUUCCCAAUCAUGAACCAGUCUGUUGUUCCGUGGUUUGUUCUUACUGUUGUUACUUGGUCGUUAUACAGAUUCCUCAGGAGACAGACAAGGUGACUUGGUAUCCCCAUACCACCGAGAACUUGCCACAAUUUAUUAUGAUCCACACAGUCAAAGGCUUUAGAAUAGUCAACAAAACAGAAAUAGAUGUUUUUUUGAAACCCCCCACCUUCCUCCAUUAUCCAUUCUCUGGAUGGCUUCAAAAAGAUGCUGGACAGCUCCCUACUUGGGUGGGAAACCUGCUUUGAGCAGUUUGUUGGAACUGGUGGCCCAUGAGAACCCCCUUUUAACUCUCUAAUUCUAUGCUCCACCUUUUAUCAGCUAAAGUCCAGGUUUCCUUGGGAGUGAAGCAUCGGGGGAAGGGGGCAGGAGAAAUGCUAUGUUGUGGGUCAACUCUUUCUCUGCAUUAUAAUAACAGAAGGAAAAUGACUGGAAGCCAUUUUUGACGAAGGCAAUGACUGAGUGAAGCAACAGAGAAAGCAGCAAGCCCAUCAAAGGAAAGAUGCCCAGUAAUCUUUAGUAUUGAACUCAUUUGGCCUUAUUUCGGCUUUCAAAGAUAGUACAUCAUGCAUGUGAGGGUGAGCAACCUGGAAGCAAGAUAAGCACGCUAAAUAAACAAGAUGCUGCUUUAUGUAAGAGACUGAUGGAAGUUAUUUGCCUUUCAGUAGAUUUCCUUGCUUUGAUUUCCUCUACAGAUCUACAUUCAGAUUUAUAAAACAUGAAAAACAAAUUGCAAAGGAUGAGUGGUUAUGGAGCCUGCUGUAGUGCUUUUAACAGCAGUCACAGAUUAAACAACAGAAGUGAAUGUAGCUUUAGCUGGAAUCCAGUUCCUUUCAAAGUCUGGCCAGUAGUGAGGCAUGAUGGGAGUUGCAAUUCCAUACCAUGUACAGGGCCAUAAGUUUCCCAGUUCAGUUCCAGUCUAGAAGGCAUGUUCCAAUUCAUAGUUACCUAGCAGUA